UACGGAGGGUGCAAGCGUUAUCCGGAUUCACUGGGUUUAAAGGGUGCGUAGGUGGAUUGGUACGUCAGUGGUGAAAUCUCCGGGCUUAACUCGGAAACUGCCAUUGAUACUAUCAGUCUUGAAUACCGUGGAGGCCAGUAGAAUAUGUCAUGUAGCGGUGAAAUGCUUAGAUAUGACAUAGAAUACCAAUUGCGAAGGCAGCUGGCUACGCGAAUAUUGACACUCAGGCACGAAAGCGUGGGGAGCAAAAGGG
rnacentral:rRNA from 1 species